UGGGGAAUUUUGGACAAUGGGGGAAACCCUGAUCCAGCCAUCCCGCGUGUGCGAUGAAGGCCUUCGGGUUGUAAAGCACUUUUGGCAGGAAAGAAACGUCGCGGGUUAAUACCCCGCGAAACUGACGGUACCUGCAGAAUAAGCACCGGCUAACUACGUGCCAGCAGCCGCGGUAAUACGUAGGGUGCAAGCGUUAACCGGAAUUACUGGGCGUAAAGCGUGCGCAGGCGGUUCGGAAAGAAAGAUGUGAAAUCCCAGAGCUUAACUUUGGAACUGCAUUUUUAACUACCGGGCUAGAGUGUGUCAGAGGGAGGUGGAAUUCCGCGUGUAGCAGUGAAAUGCGUAGAUAUGCGGAGGAACACCGAUGGCGAAGGCAGCCUCCUGGGAUAACACUGACGCUCAUGCACGAAAGCGUGGGGAGCAAACAGGAUUAGAUACCCUGGUAGUCCACGCCCUAAACGAUGUCAACUAGCUGUUGGGGCCUUCGGGCCUUGGUAGCGCAGCUAACGCGUGAAGUUGACCGCCUGGGGAGUACGGUCGCAAGAUUAAAACUUAAAUGAAUUGACGGGGGUCAUAGCUGUUU
rnacentral:rRNA from 1 species